UGCACGACAGCGGACAACCUAUUGAAAUUCCAUAGCGUUUUUUUGAGACAUCCUGUUUAAUAAACAUAGUUCCUGCAUGGUCAUGCAUACAAAUGAUAAUACAUUUCUUUACAUAAUAAGUACUCUCUUCCUCAAAAUCAAUUAACUUCAGAUCGCUGAUCGUAUAUCAACACGCAGUAUAACUAAAAUCCGUGCUGCCUCAACCGGUAUCUGUUGCUCAGUCAUGGCAAAACCGACCUUACUGCUUUUCGGUGUUGUGCUUUUAACUUCUCUACUCUCUAAUUUGGAAGCAGUGAGCCCAGGAGG